GCGCAGAUGGUGUAGUGGGAGCACACUUGACACAAAGAGCAACGGGGGUUCGAAUCCUUCUCUGCGCC
rnacentral:tRNA from 1 species